rnacentral:snRNA from 1 species
AAGGUUUCUCUUCAGAUCAUAUACAUCUUUCACCUUUUACUAAAGAUUUCCUUGGAGAGGAACAAUUCUGAGGCUUAACCCAGUUUUUGAGGCCUUUCAUCUGUAGGGC